rfam:Danio rerio chromosome 4, GRCz11 reference primary assembly.
GUCUCUGUGGCGCAAUAGGUUAGCACGUUCGGCUGUUAACUGAAAGGUUGGUGGUUCAACCCCACCUAGGGACG